rnacentral:lncRNA from 1 species
CUCAAACCAAACACAUCAGAGGGAUGGGAGAGGGAGAAGCAGAAAUGAUGCUGAAAAACCAGCUAGAGGAGAAAGACAUGUAUGGAUAAGCUCUAAAGUAAGAAGACAUUCUGGGGUGAUUUUACAGAUGCCUGUGAACCCCUGCCCAUGUGCUCCAGUGAAUGGUGACUGACCAUAUGACCUGCUCAAAUGGCUGGCUGUUACCUGCCUCCAGCCAAAAGGGGAGAAGAAAGCCCAUGGGUACAGCACAGUAGAAAAAGCACAAUGUUGGAGUUAAUUGCCUGGGGUUUGAAUACCUGUAUCCACCCUUCUCUCCCCAUCUCUGUGUGAUCUGGGGCAAGCUAUAAUCCUCUCUGAGCCAGUGCUUCCUUGCCUUGGCUGGGCUCAGGUGGAUGGUUCUUCUGUUUCACAUGGCAUCAGCUGGGAUCACCCUUGCAGCUGCCUUUAGCUGGGAGCUCAGCUGGAAAGUCCAAGAUGGCUUCACUCAUACAUGUGGUGAGUCUGUGGGUGUGACUGGGAUAGCUGGGCACUGUCUUGGCUUCUCUCUCUACAUAUCUUUCAGCUGUCUUGCUCAGUCUUCUUUACAUAGCAGCUGGCUCCCAAGAAGUGAAGCAGAAGUUGCCAGGCCCAGGCUCAGAAAUCCAGAAGGUCACCUUCACUGCAUCAGUUCUGCAUGGCUGGGAGGCCUCAGGAAACUUACAAGAAGGGGAAGCAAACAUGUUCUUCACGUGAUGGCAGGAAGGAGAAGUGUCUAGCAAAGAGGGAAAAGCCCUUUAUAAAACCAUCAGAUCUCAUGAGAACUCACUCACUAUCAUGAGAACAGCAGCAUGGGGGUAAUAGUCCCCAUGAUUCAAUUACCUCCCACCAGCUUCCUCCCACAACAUGUGGGGAUUAUGGGAACUACAGUUCAAAGUGAGAUUAGGGUGGGGACAUAGCCAAACCAUAUCACAGCCUCAGACUCACAGGGGCCCAAAAGAGCUGUGGAGAGAGCUCCUGACAGGAGCAAUGGCCUUCAGCAACGAGUACAGUCUCUGCUGACCUCCAGCCACACAGGAGGGGAGCCAGGGGAAUCAAGACCCUGACCUCUCUCUCAUGUCCUCUGAUCUUGUCCUGUUGGCCAAACCCAAUGGGAAGCAAUAUAUGUGAUUCUUUAUUUUUGCAUUAAAUAAUAAAAUCUAGACACAGGUAUAGUAAUGACCAUAAAUUUGAAGUGGAAAUAAGUGAAAAUGCUAUUUUUAUACAUCUGCUAAACCAAUAAUGUAAUAUGGAAAAAAAUCCAUGGUUUUUAUGGCCAAACAAAGUUUCUUGGGGUUUGUUGCCUAUAUUUAUAGUUGAAGAAAAUGCUAAAUUUCAGCUAGAAGUUAAUGAAAAUAAAGAUGUAGGGUUUUUGUCUCCUCCAAGUUCACGCACUCCUUGAAUUAAGUACCCCUGGCCUAGUCCUGUUAUGCCUGUUUUCAUCUUCCCAAUAGGCAGAGGCUACUGAAGGCAAAAUUUACAGGGCUUUCCUAGAGGAGUGUUGAUUCAGAAGGCCAUUACUUUCCUCUUGAAGGGAGACUAUGGUUGAGCUAAUUAGAUUUGUGGAGACUUUUCUGUGUCCCUGUAAAGCCUAAUACAUAGUAUGAGUGAGGUGGUCAUGGAUAACUUAUGAAGACCAUCUCAUUAGCCUAUAAUCAUUGCUCAUAACAUUUAUGUAUUCAGCAAAUAUGUACUGAGCAUCUACUAUGUGUCAGACACUGUUCUAGAUACUAGGGAUACAUCAGUGGACAAAAGAGAUUUUUUAAAAAAUUCCUUGCUCUCAUGAAGCUUAGAUUGUAGUUGGGGUGAGGGGGUGAAGGUUCAGACAACAAACAAAAAUAAAUAAUAUAAAUGGUAUCAUAUGUAAAGAGGUGACAAGUACUCUGAAAAAAUAUAUAGAACAUUUUAGGAAGUAUAGAGGACCAUGGGGAGGGUUGUAAUUUUAAAUGAGGUAAUCAGAGUAAAAUUUAUUAUUAAUAAGAAUGUGAAGUUUGGCCAUGCAUGGUGGCUCAUGACUGUAAUCCCAGCACUUUGGGAGGCCAAGGUGGGUAGAUUGCUUGAGUCCAGGAGUUCAAGACCAGCCUGAACAACAGGGAAAAAUUCCAUCUCUACAAAAAAUUAGCCGGGUGUGGUGGCACACACACCUGUACUCCCAGCCACUCAGAGGCUGAGGUGGAUCACUUGAAGCCCAGGAGGUGGAGGUUGCAGUGAGUCAUGAUUGUGCCACUGCACUCCAGCCUGGGCAACAGAGAG